UGUCAUUUGCUGGGGGGACAGUGGCGUUUGCAUGCGGGAUGUGUGAAGGCUCUAGGAAAAUGGGCUGCCUCUGUUUGCAGACUUGGAGCCCCACACCCCCUUUCCAAACAAAGGCAGAUCCUGUUCCAGGAGCUGGGGAGACCUUGCCCUGGCCGGCCAGCAGUGCCAGGCGCUUCUCCUGCCUGCUUCCGGGCCCUUUGCUCAGGCAGGGAGAGGGCAUGCAAGUGGCUGUCACUGCCUGGUCAGGGCGGUGAGGACAGGGUCCUCCCAGUUCUCUGCCCACGGGGCUGGCCUGGAUUCAGCUGCCCAGACCAAGCUCGUGCUGGGAGGUUGGCCAUGACCUCGGAAGCCUCUCCUGGAAGCCGCUGUGCCAGGAGCGGAAUGCUGCGGAGGCGCACCCAGGAGGAGGACAGUGCCGCCCUGAUCGACAUGGCCCCCGGGGCAGGGAAGGGCGACUCCUACGGGAGCACAGCCAACACCCUAGAGCCGGGUGGACACCAGGCAGCCGCCUGCAGGGUGGGGAGCCCUGCCAAGCCCCGGAUUGCAGACUUCGUCCUUGUUUGGGAGGAAGACCUGAAGCCAGGUCAGCAGCAGGACAACACCACCCGGGACAAGACAGACAUGCACGGGGACUGGAGGGAGACCUUUCUAGACAACCUUCGUGCAGCUGGGCUGUGUGUGGACCAGCGUGACGUCCAGGAUGCGGACAGCGCGGUGCACUAUGUCCUCCUCAGCGCCCCCUGGGCCGUGCUCUGCUAUUACGCCGAAGAGCUGCGCCUCAAGCUGCCCCUGCAGGAGUCGGAGGAGCAACCUAGGAUUCCUUCCAGGAAUUGCCCAACCAGGCCUCCAACUGGUCGGCCAGCCUGCUGGAGUGGCUGGGCAUCCCCAACAUCCUGCUGGAGGACGUGCCUGACCUGCCCCCGGAGUACUACUCCUGCCAGUUCAAAGUUCCUUGGGAGUGACAACCAGGACACCUUCUUCUCCAACACCCAGAGGCACCAGAUUCUGUUUGAGAUCCUUGCCAAGACCCCAUAUGGCCACGAGAAGAAAGGCCUGUUUGGGAUUGACCAGUUGCUGUCAGAGGGUGUCUUCAGCGCGGCCUUCCCUCUACAUGAUGGCCCCUUCAUGACACCCCCGGAGGGCCUGCAGGCUCCGGGCCUCAACCAGCGUCAGGUCCUGUCCCAGCACUGGGCCCGCUGGCGCAAGUGGAACAAGUACCAGCCUCUGGACCACGUGCGCAGGUACUUCGGGGAGAAGGUGGCCCUGUACUUCGCCUGGCUCGGGUUCUACACAGGCUGGCUCCUGCCAGCAGCAGCGGUGGGCACGCUGGUGUUCCUGGUGGGCUGUUCCAUGCUGUUCUCAGACACACCCACGCAGGAGCUGUGCAGCAGCGCAGACAGCUUUGAGAUGUGCCCGCUCUGCCCCGACUGCCCCUUCUGGCUGCUCUCCAGCAUCUGCGCCCUGGUCCAGGCUGGCCGGCUCUUUGACCACGGCGGCACCGUCUUCUUCAGCCUCUUCAUGGCGCUGUGGGCCGUGCUGUUCCUGGAGUACUGGAAGCGGAAGAGCGCCACACUGGCCUACCGCUGGGGCUGCUCCGACUAUGAGGACGUUGAGGAGAGGCCGCGGCCCCAGUUUGCCGCCUCGGCCCCCACGAUGGCCCUGAACCCCAUCACUGGCGAGGACGAGCCCUACUUCCCCGAGAGGAGCCGCCUGCACCGCGUGCUGGCUGGCUCCGUGGUGGUCGUGAUGAUGGUGGCCGUGGUGGUCAUGUUCCUUGUGUCCAUCAUCCUGUACCGGGCCAUCAUGGCCAUCCUGGUGUCCAAGUCGGACAACACCGUCCUCGCAGCCUGGGCGUCGCGCAUCGCCAGCCUCACGGGGUCCGUGGUGAACCUCAUCUUCAUCCUCAUCCUCUCCAAGAUCUACGUGGCCCUGGCCCACGUCCUGACGAGGUGGGAAAUGCACCGGACCCAGACCAAGUUCGAGGAUGCCUUCACCCUCAAGGUGUUCAUCUUCCAGUUCGUCAACUUCUACUCCUCGCCUAUCUACAUCGCCUUCUUCAAGGGCAGGUUUGUGGGGUACCCCGGCAACUACCACACCCUGUUCGGGAUCCGCAAUGAGGAGUGUGCGGCCGGGGGCUGCCUCAUUGAGCUGGCACAGGAGCUGCUGGUCAUCAUGGUCGGCAAGCAGAUCAUCAACAACGUGCAAGAGAUUCUCGUCCCGAAGCUCAAGGGCUGGUGGCAGAAAGUCCGGCUGCGCUCCAGGAAGAGGCAGGCGGGCGCUGCCGUGGCAGCUGGCCGGGCGCCCUGGGAGGCGGACUACGAGCUUCUGCCCUGCGAGGGCCUGUUUGACGAGUACCUUGAAAUGGUGCUGCAGUUCGGCUUCGUCACCAUCUUCGUGGCCGCCUGCCCGCUCGCGCCGCUCUUCGCGCUGCUCAACAACUGGGUGGAGAUCCGCCUGGACGCGCGCAAGUUCGUGAGCGAGUCCCGGCGCCCGGUGGCCGAGCGCGCGCAGGACAUCGGCAUCUGGUUCCACAUCCUGGCGGGCCUCAAGCACCUGGCGGUCAUCAGCAACGCCUUCCUGCUGGCCUUCUCCUCCGACUUCCUGCCGCGCGCCUACUACCAGUGGAGCCGCGCCCGCGACCUGCGCGGCUUCGUCAACUUCACGCUGGCGCGCGCCCCGCCCGCCUUCGCCGCGGCGCACAACCGCACGUGCAGGUAUCAGGCUUUCAGGGACGACGAUGGACAGUAUUCCCGGACCUACUGGAACCUUCUGGCCAUCCGCCUGGCCUUUGUUAUUGUGUUUGAGCACGUGGUGUUCUCCAUUGGCCGGGUCCUCGACCUCCUGGUACCUGACAUCCCCGAGUCCGUGGAGAUCAAGGUGAAGCGCGAAUACUACCUGGCCAAGCAGGCGCUGGCCGAGAAUGAGGCUCUCUUUGGAGCAGGUGGAGCGAAGGACAACCAGCCCCUGGCUCAAGAGAUGCGACUGGGCCCACAAGCCUAGCCUGCUAGGAGAUGGCCGGGCCUCCCCAGUCCCUUCCCUCUGAGAUCACAGGGGUCACCCUGAGAGUCAGCGGCUCAGGGACCUGGAGCCAGACCCACCUGGAGGGCAGAGGCCCUGCUGCCUCAGAAGAGAUGCCAGGCUGUCAAAGGCUCACCGUGCUCAGAGGCCACAACUGGUCUCCUGUCCCUCCUUGGCCCAGAGCUGCUGUGCCCUUGGCUGCCUCGGGCCUCUGCUCACGCGCCCUGCCUCCCAGGUCCUGGUCGUGGUCCCCAUCAGCCACCCCUUGGAGUCCCCAAGGCCAGCUGACUACAGCAGCAGCAUCUGGAGGGCCGGGGCAUGCUGUGCCAGGGGAACCCAGUGGCUUGUCGGGGAGCUGUCCCUGCCAUCCCCCUCCCAGCCCCAGGAGCCGGUAUCCUCUCCUCACGCUCACCCGAGACAGAAAGGCUCCACAUCUGAGGUGCUGGCUGCCCCCACCCUCAGGCACAUGCCGCUUCCCUCCCACCUCAUCGCCUCUCUCCUCUCAGAGCACCGGUCCUUCUAGGCCUGCUCCCUUCACUGCUUCCCAUCCCCAGGGCCCCUCACUCACCCCCAGACCCUGGUCUUCCACUAGCCCAGGAGGUGGCCUCCACCGUGUUCACACUUCCCUCUCGCCCCUCAGCCCUCGGAUGUGGCUCAUCUGCCAAUCAAGCCAGUUGGCUCUGAGGUCCUUUCUGUUCUCCCUGGUGCUCCUUGUGCCUCUUGCCCUUUGAAUGGUGGAGUGUCCCCUCUCUCCAGGCCCACCUCACCUCUUCCCACCCUGUCCACUUGGGGUGCUGCCUGCCCCCCAGCACGACCCACCUGUCAGCCCCUGCACUCUGUGUUCAGGUCAGAGCUGAGUCAGCUCACCACGCCACCCAGCCCCCUCCAUUCCCCAUUAUCCGCCAAGGCCUCUCGAUUGGGCUUCUUUUUUGAACCUGGUGCGCCAUUUUCUCUAAGCUGCUCCCUCCUUGCUCCCCGCUGGGCUGUGCCCCAGAGGAGUGGCUUCUCCCCCACCUCCGGCAGGCCCCUAGGCUGGGGCCAGAUGGGGAGGAGUUGGAAGGAGAUUGAAUUUUAUUCCCUGACCAGAGAAAUACUUGAGGACAUUCCUGCAACCCUCCGUGGAUCUCCUUCCACACGUUUUUCUGUGUGUUUAUACAUAAUCGUUUUCAAAAUUGGGGGCAUAAUGGUACGUGCAGUUUGACCUCAUCCCCCACUGGCUCCAGCAGCCUCUUUCCACGUUUCCCUUCCGUGAACUCGGUGGACUGCUGGGCCUAACCCUGUCACGGGCACUUCCCAACUUAGCCAUCCCUUAUGCCGGGCACGCAGGCUUCUCUUCCGCGGCGCUAUCAAUCAAUUAUGCGGAAUAAACAUCCGGAAACACUGUCCUCA